UAGGUCUAUGUCAUUUUAAUUGGUACAGAAGCUAUUGGGAUUAUACCUCCUGCGGUAAUUCCCCUUUCUGGGAUCUCUGAUGGUUCUGACAGCUAACUGUAGCUUUGUCCGUUUAACUGUCGCCCCCAACUCCUUCCCUAAGGCUGCAGCCACCCACUCGGUUCAUUUCAAAUGUAAGCCAGGCCUCACUUUUCUAGAGCUACUAAGUCUCUUCCUAAGAAAAGCAGACAGUACAGUUCACCCUUGGGGCCGACUUCAUGGUGAAAGAGCUAAACUCAGAAACCUGGGUUCAAUGUAACUUUUUACCAAUUCCUUUAUUUAAAGUAACUUGCUUCACAAUGCCUGCUCUCAGGAAUCAACCACCCCUGUCUCAUGGUCAAAUGGACCCCAGAGAAGUACUCGUCAAUCAACAGCCUGAGUUUCCCCACUUGCCUCUUCUCAAGGAUUUCCAAUGAACUGCAGACUGCUCCAAAACUGCCUACAAUGUGCCAGCCUCAGCUGUCCCUUCAGAAACUGCACCCCAGGCUUCCCCAAAGCAGCCUGCACUUCACUAACCCCAGGUGGUUCCACAGAAGCUGGGCAUCCAGGGAAACAGGUGUCUCCCAGCCUGUGUUCCUCUCUCUCUUCCUGGCUUUGACCAACAUUCCAGCCUUCCCAGGCUCCCCCGGACAACAAUGUCACGAUUUCAGCUCAGAGGCAGUUAUAGAAGAGACUGUUACAUGACCCCUUAUCAACACAAGGCUGGAAUGUCUGAUCCCAAAGAAACCUGCGUCAAAUCUCACUCAGGACCUGUGUGUGGUUCCUCCCAUCUCUUCUCACCCUGACCUCCACCCCAAACCUCUCCAGCCCAGGGGCUGGGCUUCCCUUCCCCCAGCUUCUGAUUCUUAUAUAACUUAGACAUUUUGGUUACAUGCCAUCUUUGGUUCUCUUGGCCCCUUUGUUAGUUAUUUAGCUGCGUUGUGUUCUUACCCUGCAAAGAAACGUCACGAAACACGACAGAAUCCGCUUAUAAGAGUUUAUUAGAAAUAAAGGGAUAGAGAGUGCAGGCCUGUGGGAGAGACUCGUGCAUGGAGAAGAGGGAACUAGGAAGCAUGGCGCUCCACUUUAAAACCGGCUGGGGGCAUGGCCAGGUCACGUCACUACUCCACGAGUGUGCGUAGAUCACAUGGUCAUGUUGCGCGCUUACGUGACCAUGUAAUGUCAUGGACCCUGAUCACGCGAGACCCCUUGGCCCGGAACUUGCUAGGCGGAGAUGUCCGGGUCUGCCGGGUAUCCUGGCUACAACAGACGCUUUGAUCCGGAAAUGGCUAGGCGGAAGUGUCCGCCUGGUAAAUAAACCCUUCACCCUUCACCCUUGGUUCCUGGCUAGUCAGCUACUCCGGGCCUCUUGGUCUACUUGUCUC